GGCUUGGUAAUUGGAAUGAGGGAGAGUUAAACGGACCAUCGAGUAUCCAUUGGAGGGCAAGUCUGGUGCCAGCAGCUGCGGUAAUACCAGCCCCAAUAGCGUAUAUUAAAGUUGUUGCAGUUAAAAAGCUCGUAGUUGGACUUGUGUGCGCUGUCCGCGGGUGGCCUGCGCCCAAAAGGGCGUUUCGGUUCGGCCCCGGUGGCGCCUUGAAAUCUGCAGCUGGGGGGACGUUGGCCUUAACUGGUCGGCGACCGCACGCCGGCUGCUCGGUUACUGUGAGAAAAUUAGAGUGUUCAAGGCAGGCGUUGGGUGCAAUUGAAUACAUUAGCAUGGAAUAAUAAAAUAUGGCUCCUGCCGUAUUUUGUUGGUUUUGACUGGUGGGAGUAAUGAUUGAUAGGGACGGUUGGGGGUGCUAGUAUUGAGCGGCCAGAGGUGAAAUUCAUGGAUUCGCUCAAGACUAACUUAUGCGAAAGCAUUCACCAAGGACGUCCUCUUUAAUCAAGAACGAAAGUUGGGGGAUCGAAGACGAUCAGAUACCGUCGUAGUCUCAACCAUAAACUAUGUCGACUUGGGAUCGGCGGUAGUUUUUUCAUUAAGACACUGUCGGGACCACGGGAGAAAUCAAAGUGUCUGGACUCUGGGGGAAGUAUGGUCGCAAGGCUGAAACUUGAAGGAAUUGACGGAAGGGCACCACCAGGAGUGGAGCCUGCGGCUUAAUUUGACCCAACACGGGGUAACUUACCAGGUCCAGAGAUGUAGAGGAUUGACAGAUUGAAGCUCUUUCUUGAUCACUUCUGUGGUGGUGCAUGGCCGUUCUUAGUUGGUGGAGUGAUUUGUCUGGUUAAUUCCGUUAACGAACGAGACCUCAGCCUGCUAGUGUAGUCGGCUGGAUUGCCUUUGGCGAUCCGUGAUUUCGACUUCUUAGAGGGACAAUCGACGCGCAGUCGAUGGAAGUUUGAGGCAAUAACAGGUCUGUGAUGCCCUUAGAUGUUCUGGGCCGCACGCGCGCUACACUGCUGGGCUCAGCGAGUUUUACUUGGCCGAGAGGCCCGGUUAAUCUUGUGAAAUCCCAGCGUGCUUGGGCUCGCCUCCUGCAACUGGAGGCGCCAACGAGGAAUUCCUAGUAGACGCAGGUCAUCAACCUGCAUCGAUUACGUCCCUGCCCUUUGUACACACCGCCCGUCGUUCCAUAAGAGUGAGGCAUCCGGUGAAUUCUCGGGAGAGCCUGGGCGUGGCCAGCAAUGGUCUGCUCGGGUUUGAACUUGCAUAAACUUGGUGCCUAUGAUUAGGG
rnacentral:rRNA from 1 species